UAAUGUGAAUUCCAACCUCCAGGUCCUU
rnacentral:sRNA from 1 species